GAAGGUUCGGGGUCAAAGCCCGUA
rnacentral:siRNA from 1 species